CCCCAGGCAUGCCUGACCUCAGGGAAUCGAACUUCGAAGUAUUUCUUGACCAAUGGACUGCAGGUCCUGUUUAACCAGCACACAGCUGAGGAAUGUGAACAAGAAUGAUUAAGUACUGAUGUGUAAAUGAGCUAAAGGUGACUCUCGUCCCCAAAACUGGAUGAAGUCUGAAAAAGAACCCGCUCAUGUUUCCUAGUUCUGAUGUGGGGGCAGGGCGACUGAAGAGAAUGGUCAGCCAAACACAAAUGUUCUAUAAAUAUUUGGAGAACAAAGUCUACAUAUUUUUGACCUUCACGUAAAUGCUAUCACAUUGUUUGUUCUUUUGUAAACAUGAAAUCUGCCUCAGCAGAGUCCAUCUGU
rnacentral:lncRNA from 1 species